rnacentral:rRNA from 1 species
CGGGUGAGUAAUGCGUGACCAACCUGCCCCAUGCUCCAGAAUAGCUCUUGGAAACGGGUUGGUAAUGCUGGAUGCUCCAACUUGACGCAUGUCUUGUUGGGAAAGUGUUUAGUGGCAUGGGAUGGGGUCGCGUCCUAUCAGCUUGUAGGCGGGGUAAUGGCCCACCUAGGCUUCGACGGGUAGCCGGCCUGAGAGGGCGGACGGCCACAUUGGGACUGAGAUACGGCCCAGACUCCUACGGGAGGCAGCAGUC